AUGGCGGCUUCCCUGGGUGCGGGCGGAGGAGCGGGAACCGGAGCCGGAGAUGAUGACUUUGAUCAGUUUGAUAAGCCUGGUGCAGAACGGUCUUGGAGAAGAAGAACUGGGGAUGAUGACUGGGACAGUGAACUUGAAGAUGAUUUGCUUGGAGAAGAUUUGCUGUCUGGCAAAAAGAAUCAGUCAGACUUGUCAGAUGAAGAACUGAAUGAUGAUCUUUUGCAGAGCGAUAAUGAAGAUGAACUAAAUUUCAGUUCUCAGGGUGUCACAAUUAGUCUUAACACUACAUCUGGCAUGGUUACAUCAUUUGAACUCUCCGACAAUACUAAUGAUCAAUCUGUAGAACAUGAAUCGGAAUAUGAACAAGGAGAGGAUGAAAUGAUUUAUCACAAAUCUGAUGGAUCUGAAUUGUAUCCUCAAGACUAUACUGAAGAAGAGCAGUAUGAAGGCCAUGAUGCUGAGUUGACAGAAGACCAAAUAGAAUAUGUUGAAGAACAGGGGGAGGAAGAAAUUGACAAUGAUGAAGUGCUAGACAUUGAAAUCAAUGAACCUCUAGAUGAAUUUCCAGAUGAAGAAUACAUGCAGUCUUAUGGUGGGCCGCAAGGAAUGCAAGAGCAAGACUAUGUGGCUGAAGAUGAAUUAGAGGAGAUGGCUGAUUCCCAAGCCGCUCCUGAAUCUGAAGAGGGAGCUAUUGAAACUCUGGAACUCCAAAAGGAAAUUAAAGAGGAAUCUGACGAAGAGGAGGAAGAUGAUGAAGAAUCUGGACGACAGCGUUUCAAAACUGAACGGAAAGAAGGAACGGUCAUUAGGCUCUCAGAUGUACCUAGAGAGAGAAGAAACAUUCCAGAAACUUUGGGUAACAUUUAUUGCCUACCUUCCUUCCAAGAUUGUUGUGAGGUGUAA
rnacentral:lncRNA from 1 species